CCUACGGGGGGCAGCAGUGGGGAAUAUUGGACAAUGGGGGCAACCCUGAUCCAGCCAUGCCGCGUGUGUGAAGAGGGCCCUCGGGUUGUAAAGCACUUUCAGUGAGGAAGAACGCCUGGUGGUUAAUACCCAUCAGGAAAGACAUCACUCACAGAAGAAGCACCGGCUAACUCCGUGCCAGCAGCCGCGGUAAUACGGAGGGUGCGAGCGUUAAUCGGAAUUACUGGGCGUAAAGCGCGCGUAGGUGGCUUGAUAAGCCGGUUGUGAAAGCCCCGGGCUCAACCUGGGAACGGCAUCCGGAACUGUCAAGCUAGAGUGCAGGAGAGGAAGGUAGAAUUCCCGGUGUAGCGGUGAAAUGCGUAGAGAUCAGGAGGAAUACCAGUGGCGAAGGCGGCCUUCUGGACUGACACUGACACUGAGGUGCGAAAGCGUGGGUAGCAAACAGGAUUAGAUACCCUAGUAGUC
rnacentral:rRNA from 1 species